UAUAAAGUAACCUGUGGAACUGACUUGCUAAAUAUUAAAUAUUCCAUUAUGUUCUAGAUGUAAAAUUAAAUUCAAGGACAAAUGAUUUUUACGGUAUCAUUUGUCUGUGUUCUGAGAGAGAUUAUGAAACUUAUUAAAUCAUAAUGAUGCUUCAGCUAGGCAAAAGCUCAGAAUUUGUAGGCCCUCUUUGGGCAUAAUAUUGACUCUCCUUUGAAACUGGACAGGAAGAAGAAAAUGCAUUGAAUUCAUGUGCCUUUUUGGAUGCCGUGCUCUACUAUUCUACAGUGCUUCAUAAAACUAUGUGAGAUGUGCCCAUGCUGAUUCACCUGGUCUGCAGUUAGCAUCUAUCAACAAAACUGCUACCUGCACCUUCAUCUGGAGGGAAUCCAGAGCAAGGAAAUCACAAGCAAAUACUGAGAGUUACAGCAUUUUUCUACACUGAUGUAAUAUUGUUGGAAUCACGUGGAAUUCUAGAAGUGAAUAUUGUGGCAGCUGUAUUUAAUAAUAGAAGACAAAAAAAAGUUUAAGGAACAAUAAAAUAAGAUAAAUUACUUAAAUCA
rnacentral:lncRNA from 1 species